rnacentral:rRNA from 1 species
UACAGAGGGGGCAAGCGUUAUUCGGAAUUAUUGGGCGUAAAGGGCGCGUAGGUGGUCCUUCAAGUCUCUCGUGAAAUCCCUCGGCUUAACUGAGGACGUGCGGGAGAUACUGCUGGGCUUGAGUCCGGAAGAGGGUGGUGGAAUUCCCAGUGUAGCGGUGAAAUGCGUAGAUAUUGGGAGGAACACCGGUGGCGAAGGCGGCCACCUGGGCCGGAACUGACGCUGAGGCGCGAAAGCGUGGGGAGCAAACGGG